CGUUACACAUGCAAGUCGCACGGCUGCGCGGGCUUCGGCCUGGCGGCGAGUGGCGAACGGGUGAGUAAUACAUCGGAACGUGCCCUGUCGUGGGGGAUAACUAGUCGAAAGAUUAGCUAAUACCGCAUACGACCUGAGGGUGAAAGCGGGGGACCGCAAGGCCUCGCGCGAUAGGAGCGGCCGAUGUCUGAUUAGCUAGUUGGUGGGGUAAAGGCCUACCAAGCCGACGAUCAGUAGCUGGUCCUGAGAGGACGAUCAGCCACACUGGGAACUGAGACACGGCCCAGACUCCUACGGGAGGCAGCAUGGGGAAUUUUGGACAAUGGGGGCACCCCUGCUCCAGCAAUGCCGCGUGUGUGAAGAAGGCCUUCGGGUUGUAAAGCACUUUUGUCCGGAAAGAAAUGGCCCUGGCUAAUACCCGGGGUCGAUGACGGUACCGGAAGAAUAAGCACCGGCUAACUACGUGCCAGCAGCCGCGGUAAUACGUAGGGUGCGAGCGUUAAUCGGAAUUACUGGGCGUAAAGCGUGCGCAGGCGGUUUGAUAAGACAGGCGUGAAAUCCCCGGGCUCAACCUGGGAAUGGCGCUUGUGACUGUCAGGCUAGAGUGCGUCAGAGGGGGGUAGAAUUCCACGUGUAGCAGUGAAAUGCGUAGAGAUGUGGAGGAAUACCGAUGGCGAAGGCAGCCCCCUGGGACGUGACUGACGCUCAUGCACGAAAGCGUGGGGAGCAAACAGGAUUAGAUACCCUGGUAGNNNNNNNNNNNNNNNNNNNNNNNNNNNNNNNNNNNNNNNCAGUAACGUAGCUAACGCGUGAAGUUGACCGCCUGGGGAGUACGGUCGCAAGAUUAAAACUCAAAGGAAUUGACGGGGACCCGCACAAGCGGUGGAUGAUGUGGAUUAAUUCGAUGCAACGCGAAAAACCUUACCUACCCUUGACAUGCCACUAACGAAGCAGAGAUGCAUUAGGUGCCCGAAAGGAAAAGUGGACACAGGUGCUGCAUGGCUGUCGUCAGCUCGUGUCGUGAGAUGUUGGGUUAAGUCCCGCAACGAGCGCAACCCUUUGUCUCUAGUUGCUACGCAAGAGCACUCUAAGAGAGACUGCCGGGUGACAAACCGGAGGAAGGUGGGGGAUGACGUCAAGUCCUCAUGGCCCUUAUGGGUAGGGCUUCACACGUCAUACAAUGGUGCGUACAGAGGGUUGCCAACCCGCGAGGGGGAGCUAAUCCCAGAAAACGCAUCGUAGUCCGGAUCGUAGUCUGCAACUCGACUACGUGA
rnacentral:rRNA from 1 species